rnacentral:sRNA from 1 species
GCCGGGUGCAGUGGUGUGUGCCUGUAAUUCCAGUGACUCAAGAGAGGCUAAGGCAGGAGAAUCACUAAGUUUGAAGCCCGUCUCAGCAACUUAGUGAAAUCUUGUCUCAA